UAGCUAGUUGGUGAGGUAAAGGCUUACCAAGGCGACGAUCUGUAGCGGGUCUGAGAGGAUGAUCCGCCACACUGGAACUGAGACACGGUCCAGACUCCUACGGGAGGCAGCAGUGGGGAAUUUUGGACAAUGGGGGCAACCCUGAUCCAGCCAUGCCGCGUGAGUGAAGAAGGCCUUCGGGUUGUAAAGCUCUUUCGGCCGGGAAGAAAUCGCAUGGGCCAAUACCCUGUGUGGAUGUCGGUACCGGAAUAAGAAGCACCGGCUAACUACGUGCCAGCAGCCGCGGUAAUACGUAGGGUGCGAGCGUUAAUCGGAAUUACUGGGCGUAAAGCGUGCGCAGGCGGUUUUGUAAGACAGGCGUGAAAUCCCCGGGCUUAACCUGGGAACUGCGUUUGUGACUGCAAGGCUAGAGUACGGCAGAGGGGGGUGGAAUUCCACGUGUAGCAGUGAAAUGCGUAGAGAUGUGGAGGAACACCAAUGGCGAAGGCAGCCCCCUGGGUCGAUACUGACGCUCAUGCACGAAAGCGUGGGUAGCAAACAGGAUUAGAUACCCUGGUAGUCCACGCCCUAAACUAUGUCAACUAGGUGUUGGGUGGGUAAAACCUUUUAGUACCGUAGCUAACGCGUGAAGUUGACCGCCUGGGGAGUACGGCCGCAAGGUUAAAACUCAAAGGAAUUGACGGGGACCCGCACAAGCGGUGGAUGAUGUGGAUUAAUUCGAUGCAACGCGAAAAACCUUACCUACCCUUGACAUGCCAGGAACUUGCCAGAGAUGGCUUGGUGCCCGAAAGGGAGCCUGGACACAGGUGCUGCAUGGCUGUCGUCAGCUCGUGUCGUGAGAUGUUGGGUUAAGUCCCGCAACGAGCGCAACCCUUGUCGUUAAUUGCCAUCAUUUAGUUGGGCACUUUAACGAGACUGCCGGUGACAAACCGGAGGAAGGUGGGGAUGACGUCAAGUCCUCAUGGCCCUUAUGGGUAGGGCUUCACACGUCAUACAAUGGUCGGUACAAAGGGUUGCCAAGCCGCGAGGCGGAGCCAAUCCCAGAAAGCCGAUCGUAGUCCGGAUUGCAGGCUGCAACUCGCCUGCAUGAAGUCGGAAUCGCUAGUAAUCGUGGAUCAGCAUGUCACGGUGAAUACGUUCCCGGGUCUUGUACACACCGCCCGUCACACCAUGGGAGCGGGUUCCGCCAGAAGUAGGUAGCCUAACCGCAAGGGGGGCGCUUACCACGGCGGGGUUCGUGACUGGGGUGAAGUCGAAACAAGGUAGCCGUAGGGGAACCUGCGGCUG
rnacentral:rRNA from 1 species